UGUGCGUUCCGGUACAAUGGGCUCUCCUUCGUCUACCUCAUCUACCUUCUGCUCAUCCCCCUGUUCUCAGAACCAACCAAAGCCACCAUGCAAGGACACACAGGACGGUUGUUAAAGUCUCUGUGCUUCACCAGCUUUUCCUUCCUGUUGCUGCAUAUAAUUUUCCACAUCACGUUGGCAAGUCUGGAGGCACAGCACCGCAUUGCACCUGGUUACAACUGCUCAACCUGGGAAAAGACAUUCCGACAGAUCGGCUUUGAAAG